UGAUGGCAUUUAGUUGGUAUGGAUAGA
rnacentral:piRNA from 1 species